GACGAACGCUGGCGGCGCGCUUAACACAUGCAAGUCGAACGGAAAGGCCUGCUUUCCCUUGUGGAUUGCGGGUACUCGAGUGGCGAACGGGAGAGUAACACGUGAGUGAUCUGCCCCCAACUUGGGUAUAAGCCUGGGAAACUGGGUCUAAUUCACGCUAGGACUGUAGGGUGGUGCCUGUAGUGGAAAACGAUUUUCUAGUGGAUGGGGAUGAGCUCGGGGCAUAUCAGCUUGUUGGUGGGGUAAUGGCCUACCGAGGCGGCGACGGGUAGCGGGCCUGAGGGGGUGGCCGGCCACGUUGAGAGUGAAAAACGGCCCAGACUCAUGCGGGAGGGAGCAGUGGGGAAUAGUGCACAGGGGGCGGGAGCGUGCUGCAGCGGCGGCGUGUAGGAAUGCCGGCCUUCGGGUUGUAAACUCCUUUCGACCGCGAGUAAGCCACCUGGUUGGAAGGGUGGUGACGGUAGUGGUAGAAGAAGCACCGGCUAACUACGUG
rnacentral:rRNA from 1 species